rnacentral:rRNA from 1 species
CCUACGGGAGGCAGCAGUGGGGAAUAUUGCACAAUGGGGGGAACCCUGAUGCAGCGACGCCGCGUGAGUGAAGAAGUAUUUCGGUAUGUAAAGCUCUAUCAGCAGGGAAGAAAAUGACGGUACCUGACUAAGAAGCCCCGGCUAACUACGUGCCAGCAGCCGCGGUAAGACGUAGGGGGCAAGCGUUAUCCGGAUUUACUGGGUGUAAAGGGAGCGCAGACGGCUGUGCAAGUCUGGAGUGAAAGGCGGGGGCCCAACCCCCGGACUGCUCUGGAAACUGUAAAGCUGGAGUGCAGGAGAGGUAAGCGGAAUUCCUAGUGUAGCGGUGAAAUGCGUAGAUAUUAGGAGGAACACCAGUGGCGAAGGCGGCUUACUGGACUGCAACUGACGUUGAGGCUCGAAAGCGUGGGGAGCAAACAGGAUUAGAUACCCUUGUAGUC